AACUAACGCUGGCGGCGCGUCUUAAACAUGCAAGUCGAACGGUAACCUUAGAGCUUGCUUUGAGGUGAGAGUGGCGAACGGGUGAGUAACACGUGGAUAAUCUGCCUCCGGGAUGGGGAUAACUGUCCGAAAGGACAGCUAAUACCGAAUGAGAUGGUAGUUGCAUAAGCAGCAGCCAUUAAAGGUGGGGACCGCAAGGCCUACCGCCUGGAGAUGAGUCCGCGGCUGAUUAGCUUGUUGGUGGGGUAACGGCCUACCAAGGCGACGAUCAGUAGCCGGCCUGAGAGGGUGAACGGCCACAUUGGGACUGAGAUACGGCCCAGACUCCUACGGGAGGCAGCAGUUAAGAAUCUUGCACAAUGGGGGCAACCCUGAUGCAGCGACGCCGCGUGAAUGAUGAAGGCCUUCGGGUUGUAAAGUUCAGUAAGCAGGGAAGAAUAAGCAACGGGUAAUAUUCGUUGUGAUGACGGUACCUGCCUAAAGCCCCGGCUAACUACGUGCCAGCCGCCGCGGUAACAC
rnacentral:rRNA from 1 species